AUAUUUUCUCGAAUCUAAAGGAGUUAAGAGUCUAUUAAUUUUUAUGUAAAAUAAUAAUUUUAAAUAGAUUUUUGGUAGUGAAACGUUAUUCGUUUUUAGUUUUAUCUAGUUUAUUAAGAAAUAAAUUAAAUUUAUUCGUCAAAUUUUUAAAAUUUUUAGUUUUUAAUUUUUUAAAAUUUACGUUAAAGCUUUUAAGGGAUAAGCUUUAAAAGUUAGUUUUAUAAGAAUGAAUUUAUACAAUAAUUUUUAGGAUUGGAAGUGUCCAUAAAUAGGUUAGUGUUAUUACAUUUUAUUGUUUAUAUAGAUUUUAUAAUUUUUUAAUUUCUUUAUUAAUAUGUUAUAUUAAAUUAAAAUUUAUAAGUAAUUAUGAUUAAAUUAGUAUAAAUUGUUGUAAAAUAAAUUAUAAUUUUAAGAUUAAAUUAAGGAAUUCGGCAAAUCUAUUUUCUGCCUGUUUAUUAAAAACAUGUCUUUUUGUAAUUAUUUAAAGUCGGGCCUGCCCCAUGAUUAUUUAAAUGGCCGCGGUAUUUUGACCGUGCAAAGGUAGCAUAAUAAUUAGUUUCUUAAUUAGAAGCUUGUAUGAAGGGUUUGACAAGAAAAUUUCUGUCUCAAUUUAAAUAUUAGAAUUUAACUUUUAAGUUAAAAGGCUUAAAUUUUUUUAAAAGACGAGAAGACCCUAUAGAAUUUUACUUUUAAUUUAUUUAAAAUUUUAUGGUUUAUUUAUUUUUAAUUGAAUUAUUUGUUUUGUUGGGGUGAUGGAAAAACUAAAAUAACUUUUUCUUAUUUUAUUCAUUAAUUUAUGAUUGUUUGAUCCAAAUUUUUUGAUUACAAGAACAAAUUACCUUAGGGAUAACAGCGUUAUUAUUUUAGAGAGUUCAUAUCGAUAAAAUAGUUUGCGACCUCGAUGUUGGAUUAAAAUUAAUUAUAGGUGUAGCAGCUUAUAUGUUGGGUCUGUUCGACC
rnacentral:rRNA from 1 species